GACGAACGCUGGCGGCGUGCUUAACACAUGCAAGUCGAACGGAAAGGCCCUGCUUUUGUGGGGUGCUCGAGUGGCGAACGGGUGAGUAACACGUGAGUAACCUGCCCUUGACUUUGGGAUAACUUCAGGAAACUGGGGCUAAUACCGGAUAGGAGCUCCUGCUGCAUGGUGGGGGUUGGAAGUUUCGGCGGUUGGGGAUGGACUCGCGGCUUAUCAGCUUGUUGGUGGGGUAGUGGCUUACCAAGGCUUUGACGGGUAGCCGGCCUGAGAGGGUGACCGGCCACAUUGGGACUGAGAUACGGCCCAGACUCCUACGGGAGGCAGCAGUGGGGAAUAUUGCACAAUGGGCGGAAGCCUGAUGCAGCAACGCCGCAUGCGGGAUGACGGCCUUCGGGUUGUAAACCGCUUUCGCCUGUGACGAAGCGUGAGUGACGGUAAUGGGUAAAGAAGCACCGGCUAACUACGUG
rnacentral:rRNA from 1 species